CCUACGGGCGGCAUCAGUGAGGAAUAUUGGUCAAUGGCCGAGAGUCUGAACCAGCCAAGUAGCGUGAAGGAUGACUGUCCUAUGGGUUGUAAACUUCUUUUAUAAAGGAAUAAAACGAGGCACGUGUGCCUUUUUGCAUGUACUUUAUGAAUAAGGAUCGGCUAACUCCGUGCCAGCAGCCGCGGUAAUACGGAGGAUCCGAGCGUUAUCCGGAUUUAUUGGGUUUAAAGGGAGCGUAGAUGGGUUGUUAAGUAAGUUGUGAAAGUUUGCGGCUCAACCGUCAAAUUGCCAUUGAUACUGGCGUUCUUGAGUACAGGAGAGGUAGGCGGAAUGCGUGGUGUAGCGGUGAAAUGCAUAGAUAUCACGAAGAACCCCGAUUGCGAAGGCAGCUUACUAACCUGUGACUGACAUUGAUGCUCGAAAGUGUGGGUAUCAAACAGGAUUAGAUACCCUAGUAGUC
rnacentral:rRNA from 1 species